UACGGAGGGGGCCAGCGUUGUUCGGAAUUACUGGGCGUAAAGGGCUCGUAGGCGGUGUGGCAAGUCGGGUGUGAAAUCUCUGGGCUCAACCCAGAGUCUGCUUCCGAAACUGCUGUGCUUGAGUGUGGGAGAGGCGCGUGGAAUUGCAGGUGUAGCGGUGAAAUGCGUAGAUAUCUGCAGGAACACCCGUGGCGAAAGCGGCGCGCUGGACCACUACUGACGCUGAGGAACGAAAGCUAGGGGAGCAAACAGG
rnacentral:rRNA from 1 species